rnacentral:lncRNA from 1 species
GACGAUCUAAGAUUCGAAGAGGUAGAGGAUGAUUCGAUGGUUGUCAGCCAUGGGUUAUUGGAGAGGGGAUCAUAGGGAUGCUGGGGUGUUGAUUUGGAGUCAUUUGGCGUCGGCGCCAACGUGAGCGGGAAGCAGCCGUCGAUUCAAAUGAAUAUUCAACGAGUUUGGAUGCUAUUCGAAGGAUACCAAUGGCAGAAAUUGAAAGAGGAGCUCGAGGAGGUGGGGUGGUUUAAUUUUGGGGGUCAUCGGAGCAUCGCCACCAGCGG